CGCCGAGUGGGUGUGUGAGGAGGGGGCACAGGUGAUGAACGGGCGGGAGAGGAGCGGCUUCCCUCAGAGGUGGGAAGGUCUGUGGUGCAAACCCCCUCCCGCCUUCCCCGCGCCCCGUCUCUGCAGAUGCCCCCGAGAAGGGCUGCGAGGCUGGCAGCGACAACAGCCUCCCCCGGGAAAGCUGCUCUCCCUCCUUCUCCCUCGCUCGCCUUCUUUUCAGCUCGGCCGCUUGACUGACAGGGAGCCUUCCAGCGGCCGCCCACGCGCGCUCCCGUUUCCCCUCAGUCGGAGCGGGAGAUGGCGAAGGAGAAAGCAUGAAUGAAACAGGCAGGCGGCGGGCGCGAGCGCCCGGCCCCGGGAGAGCCGGAGCCGCCACCGCACUGAGGGCCCCGGGCCGGCGGAGGCUCGCCGGUAGGCCCAGGCUGAAGAAAAUUGAUGUCAGAAAUCAUCCUUGGGAACAGAAAUACAAGCUCUGUUUGACUCAAGAGCCUGGAGUUUGUUGAUGAGAAGGAGCAAAAGCCAGGACAUCAGAAGACUAAAGCAAUCCCUUUGGCUGAUGUAUUCAGCUCCUUCCAGCAUGACUUUGGAUGUCAAAGGUUGAUGGCAACAAGACUUUUGCUACUGUCCUGAAACUACG